rnacentral:rRNA from 1 species
GUGCCAGCAGCCGCGGUAAUACGGAGGGUGCGAGCGUUGUCCGGAAUCAUUGGGCGUAAAGGGCGCGUAGGUGGCGGGACAAGCGUGCGGUGAAAGCCUGGGGCUCAACCCCGGGUCGGCCGUGCGAACUGUUUUGCUUGAGCACUGUAGAGGCAGGCGGAAUUCCGGGUGUAGCGGUGGAAUGCGUAGAGAUCCGGAAGAACACCGGUGGCGAAGGCGGCCUGCUGGGCAGUAGCUGACACUGAGGCGCGACAGCGUGGGGAGCAAACAGGAUUAGAUACCCUGGUAGUCC